CGGGGCGUGGCGCAGUUUGGUAGCGCGUUUGACUGGGGGUCAAAAGGUCGCAGGUUCAAAUCCUGUCGCCCCGA
rnacentral:tRNA from 1 species